AGUAGAAUGGCUGAGAUAUGAAGGUGAAGGAUUGUAAAUCUUUUAAGGAGUUAGAGACUCUUCUACUA
rnacentral:tRNA from 1 species